GAUGAACGCUGGCGGCGUGCCUAAUACAUGCAAGUCGAGCGAACAGAUGAGAAGCUUGCUUCUCUGAUGUUAGCGGCGGACGGGUGAGUAACACGUGGGUAACCUACCUAUAAGACUGGGAUAACUCCGGGAAACCGGGGCUAAUACCGGAUAAUAUUUUGAACCGCAUGGUUCGAUAGUGAAAGACGGUUUCGGCUGUCACUUAUAGAUGGACCUGCGCCGUAUUAGCUAGUUGGUAAGGUAACGGCUUACCAAGGCGACGAUACGUAGCCGACCUGAGAGGGUGAUCGGCCACACUGGAACUGAGACACGGUCCAGACUCCUACGGGAGGCAGCAGUAGGGAAUCUUCCGCAAUGGGCGAAAGCCUGACGGUGCAACGCCGCGUGAGUGAUGAAGGUCUUCGGAUCGUAAAACUCUGUUGUUAGGGAAGAACAAAUUUGUUAGUAACUGAACAAGUCUUGACGGUACCUAACCAGAAAGCCACGGCUAACUACGUGCCAGCCGCCGCCGUAA
rnacentral:rRNA from 1 species